rnacentral:rRNA from 1 species
UAGUCCACGCCGUAAACGAUGGUUACUAGCUGUUCGGACUUCGGUUUGAGUGGCUAAGCGAAGGUGAUAAGUAACCCACCUGGGGAGUACGUUCGCAAGAAUGAAACUCAAAGGAAUUGACGGGGGCCCGCACAAGCGGUGGAGCAUGUGGUUUAAUUCGAUGAUACGCGAGGAACCUUACCAGGGCUUAAAUGUAGAUUGACAGGUUUAGAGAUAGACUUUUCUUCGGACAAUUUACAAGGUGCUGCAUGGUUGUCGUCAGCUCGUGCCGUGAGGUGUCAGGUUAAGUCCUAUAACGAGCGCAACCCCUGUUGUUAGUUGCCAGCGAGUCAAGUCGGGAACUCUAACAAGACUGCCAGUGCAAACUGCGAGGAAGGUGGGGAUGACGUCAAGUCAGCAUGCCCCUUACGCUCUGGGCUACACACGUGCUACAAUGGUCGUGACAAAGAGUUGCUAGUCUGCGAAGGCAAGCCAAUCUCAUAAACGCGGCCUUAGUUCGGAUUGC